rnacentral:rRNA from 1 species
UACGAAGGGGGCUAGCGUUGUUCGGAUUUACUGGGCGUAAAGCGUGCGCAGGCGGUUUGCUAAGACAGGUGUGAAAAUCCCCGAGCUUAACUUGGGAACUGCGCUUGUAACUGGCAAGCUAGAGUGUGGCAGAGGGGGGUGGAAUUCCACGUGUAGCAGUGAAAUGCGUAGAGAUGUGGAGGAACACCGAUGGCGAAGGCAGCCCCCCUGGGCUAACACUGACGCUCAUGCACGAAAGCGUGGGGAGCAAACAGG